CCAACUUAAACUUUGGAGAUAAUCCCUAACAGGAUUAAAGUCCUCCACAAGCAGGCAGAGGCAAGCUAUUCAGAAAAACAAGGUCAUGCUGCAAUUUUUUUUUUUUUUUGGUAAGCACAGGAAUCAACAAAGAGAUGUUAUAUAACUUCUAUUUAUAUCCUACUUGCUCACUAGCUGCAGGCAUACGAGAGGAGCCGAGAAGGGAAUUUAAUGAGCUCUCGGGGCUUGCUCACCUUCCAGAGCUGGUAGGAGCCAGCUUGUUUUUGAAGUGUGUCAGCAAAUGAAACUGGUGGUGGGUGGGUGGUUUGGGUAGGUGGACUGACUUGUUGCUAUGGUUUUCUUUAAUUCCUCCGUCUCUCAA
rnacentral:sRNA from 1 species